CAGUAGCCGCGGUAAAACGUAGGGUGCAAGCGUUAAUCGGAAUUACUGGGCGUAAAGCGUGCGCAGGCGGUUAUAUAAGACAGAUGUGAAAUCCCCGGGCUCAACCUGGGAACUGCAUUUGUGACUGUAUAGCUAGAGUACGGCAGAGGGGGAUGGAAUUCCGCGUGUAGCAGUGAAAUGCGUAGAUAUGCGGAGGAACACCGAUGGCGAAGGCAAUCCCCUGGGCCUGUACUGACGCUCAUGCACGAAAGCGUGGGGAGCAAACAGGAUUAGAUACCCCCGUAGUCCCUGUCUCUUAUAA
rnacentral:rRNA from 1 species